GGGCUUUGCAGCAAAAGGGUGGAACCAAGCUUGGGAAGAGACAGAGAUGUUGAGAAGCUGUGCCAAGUCCAUGGUGAAUCUUUCCCUCUUGUAUUGUUCAGGGAUUCAAAUCAUCACUGAAGGUAAAAGCCCUCACAGACAUGAGGACACCAAAGUCCUUCAGAGCAUGGCCAUAGGAAAUGCUCGUCACCAUUUCAACAGCUCUAAAACUGGAUGUUGCAGGUGUCUCACAUAG
rnacentral:lncRNA from 1 species